GAAGGAAAGUGCCCCAGAGCAUAACGUGAUCAGAGUAACCUGUCCUCCUGUGAAAAAUUUCUUUGGGCCUGAGAGGUCAUACAUUGCAAAACUUACUCAUGGUGGGGUCAUUAAGAGAUCACAAAAUAAUGACAAAAAAUGUGAAUUUGAAUUCAAAGAUCUAAGCUACUCAACGGAGUAUAAAGUGGAGGUGGUCGCUUUCAACGGACGCCUUAUCAGCAAAACCAUCAGGAAGCAAACAGUCAGCACUCUCUACAAUGACAAAGCUGUUAUUGGUGUUCUGGUAUUCAUCAUCAUAU